CAGGCCAGAGCUGGAAGAAAAGCGUUUUAUUUACAUUAAAGAGAUUGUUAUUUGUUGUAAUGUGGCCUGA
rnacentral:tRNA from 1 species